GGCUCCUCAGCCCAGAGGGGUUGCAAGGCAAGGAGAGACUCUGAGAAUGGCCCCUCUGCACAACUGGCUUAGCUUUGGCAGGUAGGGUUUGAAAAACUGCAUCUGGAGGUGCCAGGAUCUGUCAGGGUUUGUCAAUGAGCUUUCUGCAUGCACAUCAACCUGAAUGCCUCAGUUUACCCAAUUUUCGCAUGGAAAUGCAAAAAGCACCUUUUCAUUUUGAGACAGGGUCUUGCUGUUUAGCCCUGGCUGUCCUGGAACUGGGUAGAGCAUCCUGGCCUCAAAGACACAGAGAUCCACCUGCAUCUACUUCCUGGGUGCUGGGACCAAAGGCAUGAAUCCCAUUGCCUGGCCACAGGAACUGGCAUUUAAAGUGACUUGAGGGGCUGAGAGAAUGGUACAGUUUCCUACUUUUCCAGAGGACCCAAGUUCAGUUCCAAAACCUCACCUCAGGCUCUACCAGCCCCGUAUAGAUUCUACACCCUCUUCUCAAUUCUCUAACUACUGCAAAUCUACCUAAGUGCAGUUUAAAAUAACAAAAAUAAAUGAGGUGAACUGAACCCAUAUAAUCCAGAAAAGAAGCCCGGGAUGUAGUUCAGUUGGUAGAAUGGCUGCCUAGUAUUCAUAAAGCUCUGAGUUUGCCUCCCAGCACCAUGGAAAAGUGGGAGGCAGAAGCAGGAGGGAGAGAUGUUCAAGUUCACCCUUGACUAUGUAGCAAAUUCAAAGCCAGCUUGGGGUACAUGAAACGCUUCUGUCCCCAAAAGGUAUUUUUAAAAGUAAUCAUUUUAUUUUCCAUAUAAUUAUUAUAACUACUGAGAUGGGGCUUAAUACCUUCCUUAAGACUCCUCACCCACAUGGUGUAUUUACAGCCUGGUUCUGCUUCUUCCCUGCUGUGUGACGACCAGCAAGUCACUUAACAUCUCUGAGGCUCAAUUUGCCAAAGCAUAAAUUAGGACUUCUCAUCUUCAUCCAAAUCUCACCACCUGAGUGAGGCUGUCUCCCUGGAUAGCUGCUCUGCCACAGCCCAGGGGCCCCCCAAUCCUGAAUGUUACUCUGUCAGCCCAUACCUUGCAUUUAUUCAGUCUGAGUGUUCUUUUUUCCUGGCUUUCCCCACAGGGCUGGUCGUCCUUACAGGAUUUUCCCUUGUUCUCAGCAUCUAGACCCGUAACGCCCACUUCAGAAUGGGAGGGAGGAUGUCUGCUGCCCUGUCGUCUCCACACCCGAGGAAUGUCCGUGUGUGUGUGUGUGUGGUGUGCACAGCGGGCUGCACACAGCGGGCUCCACGGUGCUCGAAUGGAGGCCCUAAUGUGAAUGGAGACUAGCCUGCUGGUAGAGACCUUGGCAGUGACCGCUGUGGGCAAUGAGCCAUGGGCCAACAAUAUUCAAUGCUGUGUACCUGAUGGAUGGUUACUGUCUGAGACUGAGGCUUUUUGGGCCAGGAGUAAAAGGACUUGGUUUGUACUUGAUUGCGUCCUGUGGAUGCUUGCCUACCAACUGACUCAUCCUGACGUGCCAAAGGUCCUGGCUUUCCCCUGUGUGGGUAAGGGAAGAAGAGAGUUCUGUGAGUAAUAGCUUCGGUUGUAUGUUCUUGGCUUGGGAAGUUGACUCAUGAGUGGGUGUUGCUUGCAUUUUUCUAAGGUAAAAAAAAUGGUUAUAAUUCAUAAGCAAAAUUUAUAAAUGCCAGUGUUAGGCAGUGAUAGGAACAUCAUCAGACUAAGGCCUGAUAAUUAAUAUGAUUUAGCACUAUGAAAAAUCCAC
rnacentral:lncRNA from 1 species